UCUCCGUAGGUGAACCUGCGGAGGGAUCAUUACAGUGUUCUCGCCCCUCUGGGUUGAUCUCACACCCACUGUGAUUCAUACUGUGCUGCCUUGGCUGUCGGCCGCGUCCUGCCCGUCCGCCGGCAUCGGCUGGCGCGCGCCCGCCAGAUGCCCCGGAAUCACUGAAUGUCAGCUCCGUCUGAGUACUAUAAAAUAGUUACAACUUUCAACAACGGAUCUCUUGGUUCUG
rnacentral:misc_RNA from 1 species